AAAAAUAAGUAUAUCUGCAUACUGCUUUUGAAAGUACAAGUGUACAUUAACCAAAAAUCAACUAAACUCAUCUGUACUUUGUACAAACAAAAUCGAUAAGCAAAUCUAGCAGUCACCGUUUGUGGGAUUUGUACCACAGAUCCACAUCUGUGCGAGAUGUGAGCAUCAACUCGUUUCUUUGGCCUCGAUUUUCACCACAAAAUACACUAAAGAAAUAUAGAGACGAAGCAUCAGAAUUCAGAAAUAAAAAAUAACUACACUGAGAUCCAACAACAGGGGCAUUACAUGGUUAGUGACAGGCGAAGUUGCGGUGCCUUUUGCCGUACCUCAGGGACGAGGAGCUGUCACCAUGGACACCACUGCCACCACGAAGAGCUGUCCCGGAGAAGCAGCUAGCCUCCGCUGCCUCCACGAUAGACCAGAUCCGGUAGGGGAAGGGGUCGCAGCCACCCGCUCGGCGGAGGCGCCGCACGCCGGUGACAGGAGAGGAGGGGCGCUAGGCAAGAUGUGUGCGGGCGCUUGGAACAGGGGAGGAGCCCGGCCGCCAGAUUGGACGUCGAUCUCGGUCGCCGUUGUGGUGAGGAUCCACCUCCGCUGGGAUGGCCACCGCGCCAGGGCGCCGGCCGAGCGACAAACAUUCCGUGGAUGAGGACCGUAUCUAUAAAAAUCUUU
rnacentral:lncRNA from 1 species